rnacentral:rRNA from 1 species
GACAUGUGCCGGAAGCGCACCGAAGGUGCGUGCCGCUGCGGCCGGCGCACAGGUGCUGCAUGGCUGUCGUCAGCUCGUGCUGUGAAGUGUUGGGUUAAGUCCCGCAACGAGCGCAACCCUGCUGCCUGUUGCCACCACGAGAGGUGGGGACUCAGGCGGGACCGCCGGUGACAAACCGGAGGAAGGUGGGGACGACGUCAAGUCAUCAUGGCCCUUAUGUCCUGGGCUACACACGUGCUACAAUGGCCGGUACAGAGCGCAGCGAGGCCGCGAGGCGGAGCGAAUCGCUUAAAGCCGGUCCCAGUACGGAUUGGAGUCUGCAACCCGACUCCAUGAAGUUGGAAUCGCUAGUAAUCGCGCAUCAGCAUGGCGCGGUGAAUACGUUCCCGGGCCUU